rnacentral:rRNA from 1 species
UACGGGGGGGGGCAAGCGUUGUUCGGAAUUACUGGGCGUAAAGGGCUCGUAGGCGGCCAACUAAGUCAGACGUGAAAUCCCUCGGCUUAACCGGGGAACUGCGUCUGAUACUGGAUGGCUUGAAUCCGGGAGAGGGAUGCGGAAUUCCAGGUGUAGCGGUGAAAUGCGUAGAUAUCUGGAGGAACACCGGUGGCGAAGGCGGCAUCCUGGACCGGCAUUGACGCUGAGGAGCGAAAGCCAGGGAAGCAAACGGG